CGAGCCAAGAAGAGGUAAACAUGAUAGGGAAGUUUGAGAACUUGAAGAUAAAUAGAGAAAAGCUCGGGUAUAACGAUAGUGAAAGAUUUGUAAGCACCUCUCUUGAACCCGCUUCGGCACCUUCAGCCAUGAGGAAACCCAGAAACCGGAAUAUUGAGAUUGGUUCUAAGCAAGCUCUAAUUGAUUACCAAAUACGGGCUAUUCAAUUCUAUAAGCUUAAGCAAGAGCAGAUUAUGAAGCAAAAGCAGGAGUCUCUGUAUUGGAGAAAGCAAGCCAAAGGGUUGAAUCACCUUGAGCUUGAUAAACAACAAGCCAGACAAUUUCAUCAAAGCAAAGGGAGAACUUGUGGUGGAUUUGGUAAUGGACAAAUAGGUUCAUGGGCUAAUCUGCAACAGCAACAGAGAACCGGUUCAGAGAUGACAGCAUUUUUCCUUGGGAAGUCCGGUUCAAGAAGUGGUUCUUGUGGGACAGGGGUAUUCUUGCCCAGAGGAAUUGGUAAUACUUGCGAGUCAAGCAAGAAACGAGGCUGUUCCACCGUUCUUAUACCAGCAAGAGUGGUUCAAGCCCUAAAACUUCACUUCGACAAAAUGGGCACUGAAUCAAUAUCCAAUAAGCCCACUUUCCCUGUUCAACAUGAUGCUUCAAUGGGUGAUGUGAUGUAUGGCCUGCAAUUCCAGAACAAUAGCCAUUCCCGGACGGUGCCGGCAGAGAACCAAGAGAUGGGUCUGCCUCAGGAAUGGACAUAUUGAGAUAGAGCAACGCACAUGACGUGUUCCUCACUUCUAAUCUCGCUCACAUUAAUGGUGUUUUGGAUGUUUUUGGUAAAGAAAACAGUUGCAGACACAAUAAAGAAGGGAAAAGGACAGACAUUGGUCAAGAAUUAGGGAAAACUACAUAGAAUAGGACAAAAAUAAGGCUCCAUGGAUGAACAGAAUGCUCUAUUAUAUAUAAUAAGGGCAAGAUUUAGAUGGAGGGAGAAAAUAAUGUUGUCUUAAGAGACAGAAGCAGCUCUGUUCCUUAAGACAACAUUAUUUUCUCCCUCCCUCUAAAUCUUUCCCUUAUUAUAUAUAAUAGAGCA
rnacentral:misc_RNA from 1 species